GGCUUCGUGGUUGAGUGGUAAGAACACAGCUCUGAUCCAGCAGUCCCGGGUUCGAUCCCCAGUCGAGGAACUA